UCAAUACAAUAUUUUUUAAUUUGGAUUUUAAACUUGUGGUUCGCAAUGCUUUGGGGAAACUGCCUGCUUUCUAAGCAAGCCUCACUGGGGUUUUUUCACACUCUUUGUUCUCUUUCUGGCAUCACCCUCUAUGACAUCACCUAACUGUCCUCUUAACUGUCAACUGCUCAGAAGUUUCCUGGGAGUCCAUUUCUGCUGUUUCUGAAGCAGUUUCGAGCCUUGAAUGGGAGAGUGGAUCUGGGAGAGUGGCUGCUUCCUCUCUUCUCCGCUUUCCUCUGCCAGGGUUAGCAGAAGGUUUAUUUUCCAGAUGCAGUGAAAGGCUUCAAGGGCCCCAACGGGCAACUCCUGGGCACCUUCAGCAUCCUGCCAGGGGAGUCGUGGUAAUCAUGAUGGAAGGGCCUUCUCUUCUGUGCUGUGGCCCACUUCAUCAAGGGAAAAAGAGGCACCCGAACAGGACCAUGAAAGAUUUGAGGGACAAGUGGUGUUUCCUUUGAUCUAUCUGGUGUAAGGUCAAGAUGCGUAAAGAUAAAUCAGGAUCCAGCAAGGAAACAGUCGACUUUGAAAGAAGGUGUAGUAGUCAAGAAGAGAAGAGAAGGACCAGGCUGGCCAUAUACUGCUUCCCUGCCCUGAGAAAAAUCCCAUUAUCCACUUCCAAAUGAAAUUGGCACCAUUGAAUAGGACUAGAUCAGAAAUAAGAAGGGUCCAUAUACUAACUUUGGUAUUUCAGGAGGACCUCCCCACUUCUGCCGGCGGCCCCGGGACACUCGCAUAACCCCCUUCUGCAGCCAGCCCCGGGACAGUCCCGCACCCCCCUUCUGCAGCCGGCCCCGGGACAGUCCCGCACCCCCCUUCUGCAGCCGGCCCCGGGACAGUCCCGCACCCCCCUUCUGCAGCCGGCCCCGGGACAGUCCCGCACCCCCCUUCUGCAGCCGGCCCCGGGACAGUCCCGCACCCCCCUUCUGCAGCCGGCCCCGGGACAGUCCCGCACCCCCCUUCUGCAGCCGGCCCCGGGACAGUCCCGCACCCCCCUUCUGCAGCCGGCCCCGGGACUGUCCCGCACCCCCCUUCUGCAGCCGGCCCCGGGACUGUCCCGCACCCCCCUUCUGCAGCCGGCCCCGGGACUGUCCCGCACCCCCCUUCUGCAGCCGGCCCCGGGACUGUCCCGCACCCCCCUUCUGCAGCCGGCCCCGGGACUGUCCCGCACCCCCCUUCUGCAGCCGGCCCCGGGACUGUCCCGCACCCCCCUUCUGCAGCCAUCCCCAGGAUACUCCUCCACCCCCCUUCUGCACCCCGAACCAGGACUGUCCUAUAUCCUCCUUCUGCAGCUGCCCCGUGUCACUCCCACACACCUCCUUCUGCAGCCAGCCCCAGGACACUCCCGCACCCCUCCCUUCUGCAGCCAGCCCUGGGACACUCCCACACAUCCUUCUGCAGAUGGCUCCCUUCUACACUCCCGCACCCCCCUUCUGCAAUGGCCACAAUUCAGUCCUGCCCCCCCCCCAUGAUUUUCCUCAGGGUAGGGAUUAAAAUGCUGGCCAAGAAACGAGAACUCCUGCAGAAGUUACUACAGCCAGUAAAGGCAAGGGAAAUGCAGACUCCCAGGAGGAUGGGGCAGCUCUAGAUGGAACAUAUGCAGUCGGUGACCCAGGAGUGGAAAAUGCUGUUGAAAUUAACGCUGUCUUACCCAAGGACCCACCUCACGGCUGAACCAAGGUUAUAGUCAGUAUCAGUUACUGGUUUUGUAUUUUUGUUUUUGAAUUGCUCCUUUCCUUUCCCCGUAUUUCCCAAUUUGGGUGCAAAGACAUGGUGAACCCAAUUUGGGGAUGGAUCCUCAGAAGUCUUGGAUGUGGGUGUGUCUGGGGAGCAAAGGGGCUAUGCAGAAGGGAUUGGCUGCAUCCAAGUUCCAAUUCUGUGGAGGGCUGGAGAAGACAAGAGUUGGACCAAGCCAGGAUGGGUGGGGAGCUUGGGAGGAGAGUGGGGCAGUGGAGGUGGGGCAGCCCUACUGGACUCCAUGGGACACUGGUGUGCUGCCCUCCUCUGCUUCCAUUUAUAUAUAAGGUGUGUGGCGGGGGGUGAAGCUGAUGGUAAGCCUUUUAUUUCACAUAUCUUUAAAAUGUUUCUAUCUUUUAUAUCCAAACUGCUCUUUGUUAAGACACCCCGGGGUGGUGUGCAGCCCAUCGGAUUCCUAGCAGGGAGGAGUGCAUUCUUGUAAUUAAUUUCAGUAGAUCCCAGUUAUUAAUUCCAAAGUGGGGCUUCCCCCGAGUUUCUGGGAAAAUAAAGCACCCCAUCCAGUGACAGCACAAACACCUUUCCACUGCCGGACACUUUCCAGAUUACAGUUUCAACCGCCGUAAAAUGCUUCAGCCUGGCGGAAUUGAAUUGACAACAUAAUGAAAGGGUGUGGUGCAAGUCCACCAGCAGGGGGAGAAGUAUUUUCCAGUUUGCCCCAAAUGCCCUAAGAUAGAAAAAUACAGCAAUCUUUUUACAACGUUGCAGGACUGUAACAAAGCCAUAAAAACCAAAAGAAGGCAUUGGAAAUGUGAAUGGCAAAUUGCUGACAGUGAAGGGGCUGCAAUGUCAAUACGUAGGCAACAGGAAAGCACUCUUUGCAGAUCUGUAGUGACAUUUUGGUAAGGGUUAAUCUGGAAAGCGCCCAGGCUGACCUGCGCAACUAACUCCUUGCAGCUGAGCUAGCUUGAGUGAGUCUGAGUGUUUUCUUAUCGGAAGCACACAGCUGAAUCUCCAAACAGAAAUACUACCUGCCGGGCAAAAGAAGGGGAGGGGAAGGGAAGAAGGGAUAAAGACAAACCCUAGUGCCUCCAACAGCAGCGGGGUUGAUGGGAGUUGUAGCCCAACAACAGCUAAAGUUUGGCCACCCCUGCAAUAAUUAAUAUAGUCUGCUGGUGCAGAACCCAAUGUGUUUAUGAAGAAAACCCAACACAUUUUGGGCAGCAGCUCUUUGGUAGGGGGCUGGAUAAAGACAUCAGCAUGAAACCAAGGGAGUUGAAACUGAGGGUCAUUGAGAAAAUGACAAUUAAGUCGUAGCAGGUCUGCCAAUCUGAAGCUCACACUUGUUAUCUUUUUCUUCUUUCUCCAUCCUAGCAGCAAAGAAGCCCUUCCCAGAAUUAAGUCGUAGCAGCUGCCAAUCUGAAGCUCACACUUGUUAUCUUUUUCUUCUUUCUCCAUCCUAGCAGCAAAGAAGCCCUUCCCAGAAUCCCUCAUGGCAUUGUCAUUGAGGCAAACGCUGAGGGCAACCUCAGCCAGGUCAAUACACCUCAACACUGUGACAAAUCUCCCCUCGGGGUGGAUGGAAUUGUGGGCCCUAGACAAGGCAGGAAGAGGUUGAGGAGAGCAAGCCCACACCAGAUUCCCACUCCCUUUAUGGCUAGGUCCCCCAAAGCCUCAAGUCAUUCAAGGUGUUGGGAGAAGACCCACCACCACCAAAGGUUUCUUCUGUGUGGAAGGGAGGAUAGUUCUCCAUACAGAGGAUUUUUGCCUUCACCUCUGAGGCAAAAAUCACCCCCUUCUUAUCAGGGAGGCAUUGUUGCACCACAAAGCUUCACCCCAGGAGUGAAAGCCACACCUUAGUUCACAGAACCCCUUUCAAACUAGUUUCUAAAGUUGUGGCCUGAGUUUGCAACCCUUUCCGCUGCCCCAUCUCUUGAUUCUGAGCCUGGGUGCAAGACUACACCUUCUCCUAGCACUGCAUGCAGUGUGGCGGGUGCUGGUUUUGCAUCCAUUCCUGGCAAGGUAUAAGAAACAAGCCUGGAAAACACAGUGGACCAUGCUGUGACUGCAUCCUCAGUAGGGCUGUUCCUGGAUCGGCAUGUCUGAACCGGAUGAAUCGUUUUGGUGUCCCUCUAACGAGGUGCUGAAAUGAUUUGAGCACAUCCCUUAUCCUUGGUCCAUAGGGCCAUCCAGGGGGAUGAGGGCAUGCUAAUAAAAGCAACCCCCAACCUCUGCAGGAAGACCUUGGCAUCUGCUCACACACACCCCCGGGCGACAGUGUGGGAUUAGCUGGCUGCCUUUUGGGGCCGAGUAGGAAUUUUUCCCAUCCACCCAGAUUGGCCUGGAGGUGGCUGGUUUUUUGCCUACUCCGCACUGUUGCACUGGAAGGGGUUUUUGAUCUGGCCCAUGUUAGGAGCGGUGCCUUUAAAUAGAGUAGCCCCAUGGUCACCAGCACCAUGAUGACAGGUCAGAGGAGGGGAUACGGUGCUGCACCCUAGGGGUGGCAGCUGCACUGUGGCUUGACUACACUGCAUCUUUUUAUUGAAACUAAGUUAAUAAAGUUAUCGCCCUAGUUUUAACCCA